AAUCCAUAGGUUAAUGAGGCGAACCGGGGGAACUGAAACAUCUAAGUACCCCGAGGAAAAGAAAUCAACCGAGAUUCCCCCAGUAGCGGCGAGCGAACGGGGAGGAGCCCAGAGCCUGAAUCAGCAUGUGUGUUAGUGGAAGCGUCUGGAAAGGCGCGCGAUACAGGGUGACAGCCCCGUACACAAAAGCGCAUGUGCUGUGAGCUCGAUGAGUAGGGCGGGACACGUGGUAUCCUGUCUGAAUAUGGGGGGACCAUCCUCCAAGGCUAAAUACUCCUGACUGACCGAUAGUGAACCAGUACCGUGAGGGAAAGGCGAAAAGAACCCCGGCGAGGGGAGUGAAAAAGAACCUGAAACCGUGUACGUACAAGCAGUGGGAGCACCCUUUGGGGUGUGACUGCGUACCUUUUGUAUAAUGGGUCAGCGACUUAUAUUCUGUAGCAAGGUUAACCGUAUAGGGGAGCCGUAGGGAAACCGAGUCUUAACCGGGCGUUAAGUUGC
rnacentral:rRNA from 1 species